CACCCUUUCACGGACUUUUAAACUGAGAAGGAAGGAACCACGUGGAAGAUUCUCAACAGGUUCUAGCAAACACUGAGCAGUUUUGUGAAGAAUGCCCUUCUCUGAGAGAAACCUGCAUCUAGAAGCCAACAUAAAGGGACAAGGUAAGCCAGAGGAUAUCCCUCAUAUCUCAGAAAGAGAAAAACAGUGGUGAUUUUCAGCCCUGGAAA
rnacentral:lncRNA from 1 species